UGCUGAGAAGCGGGAGCGCGCGCGGGGGGGUGGGAGGCGGGGAAAGGGCGACGAAGGAGUGAGCAGGCCGCGUCUGCCGCGCCAGCGACGUCUGACGGCCUUCCGCUCUAAACCGCUUGAGGGUCACACCUGGCUUCGCCUUAGAGCAUCAGGGACCGCAGCCAUUCAGGUCCCAUCCUGCAAAACAACUGUUACCCGAUCCCAGAAACAGUUUAAGGAUAGCCAAACAUAUGCAUUUUUAAAACACACCUCUGGAGGUUGAGGCAGGAGGAUCUUGAAUCCAAGACUUUUUUUUCCCCAGACCACCCCAAGCAGAGAAGAUUCGACAUCUGAUAUCAGCUAUGGAAAACAAAAACAACCUCGUGCUCAAGGCAUCUUCGCUGAAUGAGUCAACAAGCCUGGUAAAUGAUACGCUUUUGUUGGAUGAAAAAACUCAUGCUCUACAAAAAUAUGGCCAUAGCAGAGUCCAUAUUCUCAACAACAGUAUUAAUGUGUUUAUCUUUCCUUGAAGUGUCGACAAUGCAAGACAUGUAAAGACAAAAUGCCUCUGGAGCCAAUCCAUACUUUUUUAUACUUUUUGUGUCUAUGGUGCUGGGGAUCAAAACAGAGCCUCCUGCUUGCUGGGAAACCAUCCCACCACUAAGCUACAGCCUCGGCACAUUUUAUUUGGAGACAAUUCUAGAUUAACAGCCAGUUGUAAGAAAUAAUACAAUGACAUCCCUGUACUGUUCACCCAAUGUCCUCAUGCUAACAUCUUACAAAACCACAGCACAAUAUGACAAGGCAGACAUUGACAUCAUUAAUACAGUGAAUAUACACCAG
rnacentral:lncRNA from 1 species